GUGCCAGCAGCCGCGGUAAUACGGAAGGUCCGGGCGUUAUCCGGAUUUAUUGGGUUUAAAGGGAGCGCAGGCUGAUUGUUAAGCGUGACGUGAAAUGUAGCCGCUCAACGGCUGAACUGCGUCGCGAACUGGCAGUCUUGAGUGGGUACGACGGAGGCGGAAUUCGUGGUGUAGCGGUGAAAUGCUUAGAUAUCACGAAGAACCCCGAUUGCGAAGGCAGCCUCCGAGUCCUUUACUGACGCUAAAGCUCGAAGGUGCGGGUAUCGAACAGGAUUAGAUACCCUGGUAGUCCGCACGGUAAACGAUGGAUGCCCGCUGUUGGCGAUACAUUGUCAGCGGCCAAGCGAAAGCGUUAAGCAUCCCACCUGGGGAGUACGCCGGCAACGGUGAAACUCAAAGGAAUUGACGGGGGCCCGCACAAGCGGAGGAACAUGUGGUUUAAUUCGAUGAUACGCGAGGAACCUUACCCGGGCUUGAACUGCAGCAGAACGACGGAGAGAUCCUGAGGCCCUUCGGGGCUGCUGUGGAGGUGCUGCAUGGUUGUCGUCAGCUCGUGCCGUGAGGUGUCGGCUUAAGUGCCAUAACGAGCGCAACCCCUUUCGACAGUUGCCAUCAGGUCAUGCUGGGCACUCUGUUGACACUGCCACCGUAAGGUGUGAGGAAGGUGGGGAUGACGUCAAAUCAGCACGGCCCUUACGUCCGGGGCUACACACGUGUUACAAUGGGUGGUACAGAGAGUAAGUCCCCAGCAAUGUGGAUUCAAUCCUUAAAGCCAUCCUCAGUUCGGAUUGGGGUCUGCAACCCGACCCCAUGAAGCUGGAUUCGCUAGUAAUCGCGCAUCAGCCAUGGCGCGGUGAAUACGUUCCCGGGCCUUGUACACACCGCCCGU
rnacentral:rRNA from 1 species